rnacentral:rRNA from 1 species
UACGGGGGGGGCAAGCGUUGUUCGGAAUUACUGGGCGUAAAGGGCGCGUAGGCGGCCUGCUAAGUCACACGUGAAAUCCCUCGGCUCAACCGGGGAACUGCGUGUGAUACUGGCGGGCUUGAAUUCGGGAGAGGGAUGUGGAAUUCCAGGUGUAGCGGUGAAAUGCGUAGAUAUCUGGAGGAACACCGGUGGCGAAGGCGGCAUCCUGGACCAACACUGACGCUGAUGAGCGAAAGCCAGGGGAGCAAACGGG